rnacentral:lncRNA from 1 species
UCCAAUUGAUUCUAGCUCGACCAAAUGCCACACAAAUAUAACAAUUGUGCACAGUACAAACCUUUAUUUUUGUUACGUAAUUAAGCCCUCUUAUACUUUUUAAUUUACAGAAACUUGGAAGCGGAGAAUGAUGCAAGGAUUUUUAAAGAAAUAUUUUUCCCUAGUAGUAAAGUAAUAAUUUUGGCAAUCUUUUUAUUUUCUGAAAUAAUGGUCAAGGUGUGCUGCACAAAGUUUGCCAAAGGUCCAUGAUAGCAUAGAGUCCUGAGUUAAAGGGAGUGCGCCAUAAAGUUGAUUAGAUAGUUUGAUUGCGUCAGUCAGAACAAGAUUAGUGCCAGUGUCAAGCAUAGGAGCUGUAUCAUCCCUAAAUGCCUGAUACCAGCAUGCCAAGGUCAAUCCACUCUACUAUUCGCUCUGUUCGCUUCACCUUAUCUCAGCCACCGAACAGUGUCUUUCUCUCACAACAAAUCAGCCGUUUCAACUUUUCAGCCGGCUUAUAAGUCCAGCCGAACAACCCUAUUGUUAAGAGCUGGAAGCGAUUCAGAGUUAAUCUGGGCACAUAGUUACAGUUAACUCUUAGAGGGCGUUUGGUUUCCUUCGCUUUAGCACCUAUCACAUCGAAUAUUUAGAUGAGUAUUAAACGUAGAC